GUCCCGUUCGUCUAGUGGCCCAGGACUCUAGGAUUUCAUUCUAGCAACGGGUGGUUCGAAUCCCCCACGGGACG
rnacentral:tRNA from 1 species